CCCCUCCCUCCGCUUCCGCCCGUCCGCGCCUCCUCCCCCACCCGACCUCCUCACCGGAAAAAAGUAAUCUGGCUCCCGGCGAGGACGCUGCAGCGCCCGCGGCCGCCCGGCCAGCGACCCCGGCCCCGGAGGCUCGGACCGGCCCCAGGAUUGGGGUUUCUGCGCCCCAGCAGGUAAGGAGUCGCCCACCCUGGCCGGGCAUUCUGACUGCCCACGCGAUCACCCAGGACCGCGACCCACAGGACCUCCGUGUUGGUGGGAGUGGGGUGAUGAGUGGAACACACAGGCGGUUUUGCGUGGAAACCUGUCCUUUCAGGUUCCUCUGAGAGAUGGGCACAGUAGUGCCUCGGGAUGUUGGAGGACCCAGUGAGAUGGCCGCACUGAGGCAGAAGUCAAAGGUACAUGUUCUGGGCCUCACUUGUCAUCCCCCCACGACAGCAGCCAUCCCUAGAACCUCCAGGAGCUGGGAGGAGCCCAGGGCCUCCUCCCUGCGCCCUCUCAGCAGCGGUCUGGGAUGAAGUGCCCAGCGGCCUCUUUUUCUAACUUCUGGUCCCACACUGCUCUGUACCACACCAGAUAUCGCCCCAUUCUGCAGAGGAGGAAACUGAGGCACACCGGUAGGUCGUUUGCUCAGGAUCACCCAACUAGUGAAUGGCGUAGCCAAGUUUCCAAAGUCCAUGCUCUUUCUCUCCCACACAGAUUCCUUCUACUGUGCCCGUGCCUCCCGGGCCCAGCAUAGCACCCACCCAUGAUGUCCCAAUAUUCCUGGUCCUGGAAGCUGAUGACCAGGGACUCUGCACGGUUCCUUCCCUGCAGAAGGUGGCUGAUGGUGACUGUGGAAGAGGGCUAGUGCUUAGGGGGGAAUCUCUGAGGGAAGCUCACACCUCAGCUCUGGGCUCCCUGGAGGUCUCAGUGCCUCCAGGAUGGGAAGAGAAGGGGAAAUGCUGGCUGUGGAUUUAUUUACCUAAAGAGAUGAGUGGGAGGGCGAAACUCUCACCUCCAGGCCUCCUUCUCACCUUCCUGAGCUAGAUCAAUCCACAAAGUUGUCUGCCACCCCUCCCCACCCACCGACAAGCAGGGACACCUCCAGCCGGCCGGUCAAGCUCCACACUUGGCUCCCAGCUCCGCCCCAGGUGCCCCGCUGGGGGCUCAAGGAACUUUUUUGGUUGUGAAAUAAAAUGAAAAUAAUUUGGGACUUCCCUGGUGGUCCAGUGGUUAAGAAUCCACCUUCCAAUGCAGGGGACGUGAUCCCUGGUUGGGGAACUAAGAUCCCACAUGCCGUGGGCUAAGUAAGCCCGUGCGUGGCAACUACUGAGCACACGGGCCACACCUAGAGAGCCUGCGCACCUCAACGAAGAUCCCAACCAAGAUCCCACGUGCCGCAACUAAGACCCGAUGCAGCCAAAAAUUAAAUAAAUAAAUAUUAAAAUGAAAAUAAUUUAAUAUCCUGCUCUUUGAAUUCUAGAAACACUUUCCAGUUUGCUAUAUUCUUCAUGGGCAUUAUGUCACAUGCCACUGAGAAGACAUGACAUAGUU